UGUAUAAUGGGUCAGCGACUUAUAUUCUGUAGCAAGGUUAACCGAAUAGGGGAGCCGAAGGGAAACCGAGUCUUAACUGGGCGUUAAGUUGCAGGGUAUAGACCCGAAACCCGGUGAUCUAGCCAUGGGCAGGUUGAAGGUUGGGUAACACUAACUGGAGGACCGAACCGACUAAUGUUGAAAAAUUAGCGGAUGACUUGUGGCUGGGGGUGAAAGGCCAAUCAAACCGGGAGAUAGCUGGUUCUCCCCGAAAGCUAUUUAGGUAGCGCCUCGUGAAUUCAUCUCCGGGGGUAGAGCACUGUUUCGGCAAGGGGGUCAUCCCGACUUACCAACCCGAUGCAAACUGCGAAUACCGGAGAAUGUUAUCACGGGAGACACACGGCGGGUGCUAACGUCCGUCGUGAAGAGGGAAACAACCCAGACCGCCAGCUAAGGUCCCAAAGUCAUGGUUAAGUGGGAAACGAUGUGGGAAGGCCCAGACAGCCAGGAUGUUGGCUUAGAAGCAGCCAUCAUUUAAAGAAAGCGUAAUAGCUCACUGGUCGAGUCGGCCUGCGCGGAAGAUGUAACGGGGCUAAACCAUGCACCGAAGCUGCGGCAGCGACGCUGAUGCGUUGUUGGGUAGGGGAGCGUUCUGUAAGCCUGUGAAGGUGUGCUGUGAGGCAUGCUGGAGGUAUCAGAAGUGCGAAUGCUGACAUAAGUAACGAUAAAGCGGGUGAAAAGCCCGCUCGCCGGAAGACCAAGGGUUCCUGUCCAACGUUAAUCGGGGCAGGGUGAGUCGACCCCUAAGGCGAGGCCGAAAGGCGUAGUCGAUGGGAAACAGGUUAAUAUUCCUGUACUUGGUGUUACUGCGAAGGGGGGACGGAGAAGGCUAUGUUGGCCGGGCGACGGUUGUCCCGGUUUAAGCGUGUAGGCUGGUUUUCCAGGCAAAUCCGGAAAAUCAAGGCUGAGGCGUGAUGACGAGGCACUACGGUGCUGAAGCAACAAAUGCCCUGCUUCCAGGAAAAGCCUCUAAGCAUCAGGUAACAUCAAAUCGUACCCCAAACCGACACAGGUGGUCAGGUAGAGAAUACCAAGGCGCUUGAGAGAACUCGGGUGAAGGAACUAGGCAAAAUGGUGCCGUAACUUCGGGAGAA
rnacentral:rRNA from 1 species